UGAUUAUGUGGGUGGUGGUGCAUGGCCGUUCUUAGUUGGUGGAGUGAUUUGUCUGCUUAAUUGCGAUAACGAACGAGACCUUAACCUGCUAAAUAGCCAGGCGAGCUUUUGCUCGUCGCCGGCUUCUUAGAGGGACUAUCGGCUCAAGCCGAUGGAAGUUUGAGGCAAUAACAGGUCUGUGAUGCCCUUAGAUGUUCUGGGCCGCACGCGCGCUACACUGACAGAGCCAACGAGUUUAAACCUUGACCGAGAGGUCUGGGUAAUCUUGUUAAACUCUGUCGUGCUGGGGAUAGAGCAUUGCAAUUAUUGCUCUUCAACGAGGAAUAUCUAGUAAGCGCAAGUCAUCAGCUUGCGUUGAUUACGUCCCUGCCCUUUGUACACACCGCCCGUCGCUACUACCGAUUGAAUGGCUCAGUGAGGCCUUCGGACUGACUCAGGGAGGUCGGCAACGACCACCCAGAGCCGGAAAGUUGGUCAAACUUGGUCAUUUAGAGGAAGUAAAAGUCGUAACAAGGUUUGAAAUGAGUCCCUUCCACAGGUGACGCUCACGAGAAGCCUUUGUGGCCCCGCAAGGGGUAUCUGCCGCGACAGUAAAUAAAGAAUGCGGGUAUUAAAUCGCAAGUCGGUUUUCGAACCGGCCACACUUUCGAAUUGCGGGAAAUCCCUAAAGCCCUUCUCUACCAACCCACCGAGGAAACUCGGGUUUUUUUGGGGGCCCGUGUUAACAGCACGGGGCGCAGGUAACAACGAGAUUGGGAUAAAGUGCAACACACGGCACGCCAUGGGAGAUCCGCAGCCAAGUCCCUAAGGCUCGGAGCAAUCCGGGCUAUGGGAAAGGUUCACAGACUAAGUGGAAGUGGGCUGUAAAAUCAGCUUAAGAUAUAGUCGGGCCUGACGGGAGACCGCUGGGGAGUCAUCAGACCGCUUAACCGUUCCGUAGGUGAACCUGCGGAAGGAUCAUUACAAAUUGAAUGACGUUGGGGUUUCGGCCUCACACGUUUCUCAAACUCCUUGCUCAAACACAAAACCAUUUGCUUCGGCAGCGGGCCUCAGGUCUCUCCACUUCGUUGUGGAGUUUUCUCAGGCCGUCAGCCUGCCGGCAGCACCCAAAACCAAACUCGUUUUAAAACAACCUGUCUGAACACAAUCAUUAAUUGAAUGAUAAUUAAAACUUUCAACAACGGAUCUCUUGGUUCCCGCAUCGAUGAAGAACGCAGCGAAACGCGAUAGUUAAUGUGAAUUGCAGAAUUCAGUGAAUCAUCGAGUCUUUGAACGCACAUUGCGCCCUUUGGUAUUCCGAAGGGCACGUCCGUUUGAGCGUCAUUUCUACCCCUUCGCGGUCCGGUUGCUUUCGGGCGACCGUUCCUGCGGUAUUGAGUUCCGCUGACCUCUCCUUUUUGGGGAGGCGCUGGCUUUAAAGUAGAACGCUCUGCGGGCCGCUUCGGCUCCCCUUGACAUAGUAAAAUCUUUUAUUCUUGUUUAGAGGACCGUCGUGGCUUCCGCCUGAACAACAAACCAAAACACAAUCAGGUUUGACCUCAAAUCGGACGAGGAUACCCGCUGAACUUAAGCAUAUCAAUAAGCGGAGGAAAAGAAACCAACAGGGAUUGCCUCAGUAACGGCGAGUGAAGCGGCAACAGCUCAAAUUUGAAAUCUGAAGCCUUCGGCCUCCGAGUUGUAAUUUGAAGAAGAUGCUUCGGUUGUGGCCCCGGCCUAAGUUCCUUGGAACAGGACGUCGCAGAGGGUGAGAAUCCCGUACGCGGCUGGCGGCUUACUUCCAUGUGUAGCACUUUCGAAGAGUCGAGUUGUUUGGGAAUGCAGCUCAAAAUGGGUGGUAAAUUUCAUCUAAAGCUAAAUAUUGGCGGGAGACCGAUAGCGCACAAGUAGAGUGAUCGAAAGAUGAAAAGCACUUUGAAAAGAGAGUUAAAUAGUACGUGAAAUUGUUGAAAGGGAAGCGCUUGCAGCCAGACUCCCUCGCGGUUGAUCAUCGUUCCUUCUGGUUCGUGCACUCUGCCGUUUGGGGGCCAGCAUCGGUUUGUGCGGCGGGACAAAGGUUUCGGGAAUGUGGCUCCUCUCGGGGAGUGUUAUAGCCCGUUGCGUAAUGCCGCCUGUGCA
rnacentral:rRNA from 1 species